UGGGGAAUCUUGCGCAAUGGGCGAAAGCCUGACGCAGCCAUGCCGCGUGAAUGAUGAAGGUCUUAGGAUUGUAAAAUUCUUUCACCGGGGACGAUAAUGACGGUACCCGGAGAAGAAGCCCCGGCUAACUUCGUGCCAGCAGCCGCGGUAAUACGAAGGGGGCUAGCGUUGCUCGGAAUUACUGGGCGUAAAGGGAGCGUAGGCGGAUAGUUUAGUCAGAGGUGAAAGCCCAGGGCUCAACCUUGGAAUUGCCUUUGAUACUGGCUAUCUUGAGUACGGAAGAGGUAUGUGGAACUCCGAGUGUAGAGGUGAAAUUCGUAGAUAUUCGGAAGAACACCAGUGGCGAAGGCGACAUACUGGUCCGUUACUGACGCUGAGGCUCGAAAGCGUGGGGAGCAAACA
rnacentral:rRNA from 2 species